UACGGGGGGGGCAAGCGUUGUUCGGAAUUAUUGGGCGUAAAGAGCUCGUAGGCGGUGUGUCACGUCGUUCGUGAAAACCUGCAGCUUAACUGUGGGCGUGCGGUCGAUACGGGCAUCACUGGAGUUCGGCAGGGGAGACUGGAAUUCCUGGUGUAGCGGUGAAAUGCGUAGAGAUCAUGAGGAAGACCAGUGGCGAAGGCGGGUCUCUGGACAGUUCCUGACACUGAGACACGAAGGCCAGGGGAGCAAACGGG
rnacentral:rRNA from 1 species